UUUAAUAAAUCUCCGUCAUCGAUCCCCUAUCUCGCUACUAGGAUGCUUAAAUUAGAGGUUUUGAUUUCAUUGAAACUCUUCAAGAUUGAAUCGAUGCCGCAUAUAUUGAACUUAGAUCCGAAUUUUGCACAUUUCUUCUUCCCUUUCACUUUUUUGGUGGUUGCAAUCCGUCCAUCCGGCUCUCUUUUUGGUGGUUGUAAUCUGUCAAUUCGUUUUUGGAUUGGUGAGAAAAUUGACCUCCAAGACUUGAUAUGAUAGUGAUUGAAUAGGCGACGGAUCUUGACAGGAGAAAAAAAAGGAGGAAGAUAACAAACCUUAGAGCUAACGGUCAGAAUUUCUGACGGAGGAGGCAACACAUGCUCACCAAAAGGACAUCUCACCGAUCAGAGUUGUCGCCACUUUUUCUAGAGAGAGCAUGAUGACGCGGUAAG
rnacentral:lncRNA from 1 species